rnacentral:lncRNA from 1 species
CCCGCGCUCCUCCGGGCAGAGCGCGUGUGGCGGCCGAGCACAUGGGCCCGCGGGCCGGGCGGGCUCGGGGCGGCCGGGACGAGGAGGGGCGACGACGAGCUGCGAGCAAAGAUGUGCCCCGGGACCCCCGGCACCUUCCAGUGGAUUUCCUUGCGGAAAGGAUGUUGGCGGUCCCUGUGACCUGUGGAGACACGGCCAGAUCUGCCCUCCACUGUCUGCAGUGCAGGAAGCCAACUAUUAAGGGGAAACAAAAGUGUUCUUAGGAGUCCUGCUGUCACUGUGGAUUGAGCCGGUGAAGCCCUGAGGGAUUUCAUCGCUGAGGUGGAUGGAGAAGCAGCUGGGGGCCUUGGCUGUAAGGACCCCUAAGGGCCUGAUCUUUUGGCCAGAAGGAGAUUAAAAAGAUGCCCCUCAAGAUGGCUGUGCCUGUCAGCUGCAUGGAGCUUCGUUCAAGUAUUUUCUGAGCCUGAUGGAUUUACAGUGAUCUUCAGUGGUCUGGGGAAUAACGCUGGUGGAACCAUGCACUGGAAUGACACACGCCCGGCACAUUUCAGGAUACUAAAAGUGGUUUUAAGGGAGGCUGUGGCUGAAUGCCUCAUGGAUUCUUACAGCUUGGAUGUCCAUGGGGGACGAAGGACUGCAGCUGGCUGAGAGGGUUGAGAUCUCUGUUUACUUAGAUCUCUGCCAACUUCCUUUGGGUCUCCCUAUGGAAUGUAAGACCCCGACUCUUCCUGGUGAAGCAUCUGAUGCACGUUCCAUCCGGCGCUCAGCUGGGCUUGAGCUGACCAUACUCCCUGGAGCCUUCUCCCGAGGUGCGCGGGUGACCUUGGCACAUACAGCCAUCAUGAUGGUACUUUAAGUGGAGGCUGAAUCAUCUCCCCUUUGAGCUGCUUGGCACGUGGCUCCCUUGGUGUUCCCCUUUUACUGCCAGGACACUGAGAUUUGGAGAGAAUCCUGUUACACCUGGGAUUUAGGCACUUUCAAUCUGAAAAAAUACAUAUCCUUUCAGCACUCUGGACGGACUUGAGAACUGUCCUUACGUGACCUAAAGCUGGAGUAUUUUGAGAUUGGAGAAUUAAGGCCAACAGAGAUUUUGAGAAACACAUUGAAGGAUCUGUUAACACUUGAUAUACCCAAUAAAAGCAGUGGUUGUGCCAGUGCUGAUCUGUCUUGAUGUGAAUGUGAACAAUGGGAACCUGAGCUGAGCAGUUAAUGCUAGGGUGACAGAAACUGGACCUCUCCCAAGACAUGUGACAGAGUAAUACAGCAGCCAACUUCUUCGCCAAAUUAAAGUUUUACAAGAUUUAACCUGUCAUCAAGACCUGGGAUUUUGGUGAGCCAGUCUUGGUGCUCUGUGUUCACCUGGUUCAUCUGAGGAGCUGCAUCUACCCUGCCCAUGCCAUAGAUCCUGCCCUGUUUGCUUCUCCUGUUGCUGCUAGUGGACAUGAGGUCACCCGAUAUAGAAUCACACACCUGGGAGAUGGCACCAGCCAGUGAGGCUCAAAUUUGAACCACACACAAAUCUCCAGGGGUACUUGAUCUUGGACAUGAUACCUGGAUGUGCAGCAGCCAUCUGGUAAUUAUGAGGUGACAAGUCAAUAGACUGAGAUGGUGGAGCAGCAAAGAUAGAAAAGGUUUGGGUAACUCCACGCAAGACUGUCUUUACCUGCCUUUGGUUGCCCUGGUGCUCUGCAGUGGCAGGGCUGAGAUGAUUAUACAACCUGCACUCCAGGCCAAGUCCGGUACUCGUCCCAGCUGUCGGCUAAGCCUGCACUGCUAUGGAAGGACAGAAUAACGGGCUCCCAGAUUCACAAGCCCCACCAAGAGGAUCACCCCAGGAACGCUUGGAGGCUGAGGAGUUCACUGAGGCUACUGCAUCUUGAGACUCAGGAUGAAGACCCAGCUUGGGGCUGUCAAAGGUUUUUUGCAUGUCUGACACCCAUGACUCCACCUGGACCUUAUGGCUCCACCCAGAAGCAAUUCAGCCCAACAGGAGGACAGCUUCAACCCAUUACGAUUUCAUCUCUGCCCCAACCACUCAGCAGCAAGCACCUGUUACCUGUCCACCCCCACCCCUUCCCCCAAACUGCCUUUGAAAAAUCCCUAACCUAUGAGCUUUGAAUAAGAUGAGUACGAACUUCAUCGCCCACGUGGCGUGGCCGGCCUCGUGUCUAUUAAAUUCUUUUUCUACUACAA